GAUGAACGCUGGCGGCGUGCCUAAUACAUGCAAGUCGAGCGAACGGACGAGAAGCUUGCUUUUCUGAUGUUAGCGGCGGACGGGUGAGUAACACGUGGAUAACCUACCUAUAAGACUGGGAUAACUUCGGGAAACCGGAGCUAAUACCGGAUAACAUUUUGAACCGCAUGGUUCAAAAGUGAAAGACGGUCUUGCUGUCACUUAUAGAUGGAUCCGCGCUGCAUUAGCUAGUUGGUAAGGUAACGGCUUACCAAGGCAACGAUGCAUAGCCGACCUGAGAGGGUGAUCGGCCACACUGGAGCUGAGACACGGUCCAGACUCCUACGGGAGGCAGCAGUAGGGAAUCUUCCGCAAUGGGCGAAAGCCUGACGGAGCAACGCCGCGUGAGUGAUGAAGGUCUUCGGAUCGUAAAACUCUGUUAUUAGGGAAGAACAUAUGUGUAAGUAACUGUGCACAUCUUGACGGUACCUAAUCAGAAAGCCACGGCUAACUACGUG
rnacentral:rRNA from 1 species